rnacentral:rRNA from 1 species
UGAGGGAUAUUGCGCAAUGGGCGAAAGCCUGACGCAGCGACGUCGCGUGGGUGAAGAAGGUUUUCGGAUCGUAAAGCCCUUUUCUGUGUGACGAAGAAGGACGGUAGCACAGGAAUAAGUGUCGGCUAACUACGUGCCAGCAGCCGCGGUAAAACGUAGGACGCGAACGUUAUCCGGAGUUACUGGGCGUAAAGCGCGUGCAGGUGGAGUGAUAAGUUAUGUAUGAAAGCUCCUGGCUAAACUGGGAGAGGCUAGAUAAGACUGUCAUUCUAGAGUGAGUCAGAGGGAGAUGGAAUUCCUGGUGUAGUGGUGAAAUGCGUAGAUAUCAGGAGGAACACCGGUGGCGAAGGCGGUCUUCUGGGACUUGACUGACACUGAGACGCGAAAGCGUGGGUAGCGAACGGGAUUAGAUACCCCCGUAGUCC